UACAGAGGUCUCAAGCGUUGUUCGGAUUCAUUGGGCGUAAAGGGUGCGUAGGCGGCGCGGUAAGUCGGGUGUGAAAUUUCGGAGCUUAACUCCGAAACUGCAUUCGAUACUGCGGUGCUUGAGGACUGGAGAGGAGACUGGAAUUUACGGUGUAGCGGUGAAAUGCGUAGAUAUCGUAAGGAAGACCAGUGGCGAAGGCGGGUCUCUGGACAGUUCCUGACGCUGAGGCACGAAGGUCAGGGGAGCAAACGGG
rnacentral:rRNA from 1 species